UUUGAUUAGGAUUUGAUUUAGGAUUGGUUAAGAUUUGAUUUAGGAUUAGGAUUUGGUUUAGGAUUUAGGGUUUAGUUAGGAUUUGAUUUAAGAUUAGGAUUUGAUUAGGAUUUGGUUUAGGAUUUAGGGUUUGAUUUAGGAUUGGUUAGGAUUUGAUUUAGGAUUUAAGGUUUGAUUAGGAUUUGAUUUAGGGUUUAGGAUUUUAUUUGAGUUUGUUUAGGAUUUAAGAUUUAAUUAGUUUUUGGCCUGAAAUUUGAAUAAAGUUCAACAUGAUUUUAACUAGGAUUAAAUUAAGAUUGAAUUAAGAUGUAUUUGAGAUAUAUUUGUGAUCAUUCUAAUAUAUCUUUAAGAUUUCUUAUUUUUUCUUUAUAAUUCCUUUGAGGUUUCUUUGAAUUUGAUUAAAGCAUGCUUAGCAUUAUUAUGAUCUAAUUAGAGUUUAGUUAAUAUUCUAUUAGAAUUAGGAUUUUA
rnacentral:lncRNA from 1 species